rnacentral:rRNA from 1 species
CCUACGGGAGGCAGCAGUGGGGAAUAUUGCACAAUGGGGGAAACCCUGAUGCAGCGACGCCGCGUGAGUGAAGAAGUAUUUCGGUAUGUAAAGCUCUAUCAGCAGGGAAGAAAAUGACGGUACCUGAGUAAGAAGCCCCGGCUAACUACGUGCCAGCAGCCGCGGUAAUACGUAGGGGGCAAGCGUUAUCCGGAUUUACUGGGUGUAAAGGGAGCGCAGACGGCUCUGCAAGUCUGAAGUGAAAGCCCGCGGCUUAACCGCGGGACUGCUUUGGAAACUGCAAGGCUUGAGUAUCGGAGGGGCAGGCGGAAUUCCUAGUGUAGCGGUGAAAUGCGUAGAUAUUAGGAAGAACACCGGUGGCGAAGGCGGCCUGCUGGACGAAAACUGACGUUGAGGCUCGAAGGCGUGGGGAGCAAACAGGAUUAGAUACCCUGGUAGUC